AUGGUUGCAAAGCUGAAACUUAAAGGAAUUGACGGAAGGGCACUACCAGGGGUGGACGCCUGCGGCUUAAUUUGACUCAACACGGGUAACCUCAUCAGGUCCGGACUCCGGGAGGAUUGACAGAUUGAGAGCUCUUUCUUGAUUCGGGAGGGUGGUGGUGCAUGGCCGUUCUUAGUUGAUGGACUGAUCUGUCUUCUUGAUUGCGAUAACGAACGAGACUCUAGCCUGCUAACUAGUCGUCCGGGAUCCUCUGUGCUCCCGGCGACUAUCGAUCUUCUU
rnacentral:rRNA from 1 species